GUCGCCGACGACGACGUCGACAGCGAGGGUGGUGGAGACCGAACCGGCUCCUGCACCGGAGGGGAUGUAGUGGAGGAGGUAAGGGCAGAGCGGUCGAUUGGGUUUUUUUUUUACUUUUCCUUUUUUCCUUUUUUUUUGGGGUGUAGUGUUGGUUUGGGAGUUUGUUAGGGAUUUCGUCUUCAAAUUUGCAUCAUUUUUUGUGUAAUUUUGGGCGAAAUAGUGCAAUUUUAGGCG
rnacentral:lncRNA from 1 species